rnacentral:rRNA from 1 species
UACGUAGGGGGCAAGCGUUGUCCGGAAUCAUUGGGCGUAAAGAGCGUGUAGGCGGUCCGAUAAGUCCGCUGUGAAAGUCGGGGGCUCAACCCUCGGAUGCCGGUGGAUACUGUCGGGCUUGAGUACGGAAGAGGCGAGUGGAAUUCCUGGUGUAGCGGUGAAAUGCGCAGAUAUCAGGAGGAACACCAAUUGCGAAGGCAGCUCGCUGGGACGUUACUGACGCUGAGACGCGAAAGCGUGGGGAGCAAACAGG